rnacentral:rRNA from 1 species
UACGAAGGGGGCUAGCGUUGCUCGGAAUCACUGGGCGUAAAGCGCACGUAGGCGGCUUUUUAAGUCAGGGGUGAAAUCCUGGAGCUCAACUCCAGAACUGCCUUUGAUACUGAGAAGCUUGAGUCCGGGAGAGGUGAGUGGAACUGCGAGUGUAGAGGUGAAAUUCGUAGAUAUCUGGAGGAACACCGGUGGCGAAGGCGGCAUCCUGGACCGACACUGACGCUGAGGAGCGAAAGCCAGGGGAGCAAACGGG